rnacentral:rRNA from 1 species
GAUGAACGCUGGCGGCGUGCCUAAUACAUGCGAGUCGAGCGAACGGACGAGAAGCUUGCUUCUCUGAUGUUAGCGGCGGACGGGUGAGUAACACGUGGAUAACCUACCUAUAAGACUGGGAUAACUUCGGGAAACCGUAGCUAAUACCGGAUAAUAUUUUGAACCGCAUGGUUCAAAAGUGAAAGACGGUCUUGCUGUCACUUAUAGAUGGAUCCGCGCUGCAUUAGAUAGUUGGUAAGGUAACGGCUUACCAAGGCAACGAUGCAUAGCCGACCUGAGAGGGUGAUCGGCCACACUGGAACUGAGACACGGUCCAGACUCCUACGGGAGGCAGCAGUAGGGAAUCUUCCGCAAUGGGCGAAAGCCUGACGGAGCAACGCCGCGUGAGUGAUGAAGGUCUUCGGAUCGUAAAACUCUGUUAUUAGGGAAGAACAUAUGUGUAAGUAACUGUGCACAUCUUGACGGUACCUAAUCAGAAAGCCACGGCUAACUACGUG